rnacentral:hammerhead_ribozyme from 1 species
GUCCUGCUGAUGAGUCACAUAAUAGGACGAAACGGACGUCCAGUGC